GGAGCAGCGAAGAAUUAGUUGCGAAACUGAUUGACUGACGGCGGGAGAGAUCCCGCCGUU
rnacentral:sRNA from 21 species